GACGAACGCUGGCGGCGUGCUUAACACAUGCAAGUCGAACGGAAAGGCCCUGCUUUUGUGGGGUGCUCGAGUGGCGAACGGGUGAGUAACACGUGAGUAACCUGCCCUUGACUUUGGGAUAACUUCAGGAAACUGGGGCUAAUACCGGAUAGGAGCUCCUGCUGCAUGGUGGGGGUUGGAAAGUUUCGGCGGUUGGGGAUGGACUCGCGGCUUAUCAGCUUGUUGGUGGGGUAGUGGCUUACCAAGGCUUUGACGGGUAGCCGGCCUGAGAGGGUGACCGGCCACAUUGGGACUGAGAUACGGCCCAGACUCCUACGGGAGGCAGCAGUGGGGAAUAUUGCACAAUGGGCGGAAGCCUGAUGCAGCAACGCCGCGUGCGGGAUGACGGCCUUCGGGUUGUAAACCGCUUUCGCCUGUGACGAAGCGUGAGUGACGGUAAUGGGUAAAGAAGCACCGGCUAACUACGUGCCAGCAGCCGCGGUGAUACGUAGGGUGCGAGCGUUGUCCGGAUUUAUUGGGCGUAAAGGGCUCGUAGGUGGUUGAUCGCGUCGGAAGUGUAAUCUUGGGGCUUAACCCUGAGCGUGCUUUCGAUACGGGUUGACUUGAGGAAGGUAGGGGAGAAUGGAAUUCCUGGUGGAGCGGUGGAAUGCGCAGAUAUCAGGAGGAACACCAGUGGCGAAGGCGGUUCUCUGGGCCUUUCCUGACGCUGAGGAGCGAAAGCGUGGGGAGCGAACAGGCUUAGAUACCCUGGUAGUCCACGCUGUAAACGGUGGGUACUAGGUGUGGGGUCCAUUCCACGGGUUCCGUGCCGUAGCUAACGCUUUAAGUACCCCGCCUGGGGAGUACGGCCGCAAGGCUAAAACUCAAAGGAAUUGACGGGGCCCCGCACAAGCGGCGGAGCAUGCGGAUUAAUUCGAUGCAACGCGUAGAACCUUACCUGGGUUUGACAUGGGUCGGGAGUGCUCAGAGAUGGGUGUGCCUCUUUUGGGGUCGGUUCACAGGUGGUGCAUGGCUGUCGUCAGCUCGUGUCGUGAGAUGUUGGGUUAAGUCCCGCAACGAGCGCAACCCUUGUUCACUGUUGCCAGCACGUUAUGGUGGGGACUCAGUGGAGACCGCCGGGGUCAACUCGGAGGAAGGUGGGGAUGACGUCAAGUCAUCAUGCCCCUUAUGUCCAGGGCUUCACGCAUGCUACAAUGGCUGGUACAGAGAGUGGCGAGCCUGUGAGGGUGAGCGAAUCUCGGAAAGCCGGUCUCAGUUCGGAUUGGGGUCUGCAACUCGACCUCAUGAAGUCGGAGUCGCUAGUAAUCGCAAAUCAGCAACGCUGCGGUGAAUACGUUCCCGGG
rnacentral:rRNA from 1 species